CGGGAAACGGUAGCUAAUACCCGAUGGUCUCGAUAAUUCGGUUUGUCGAGUAAAGGCUCCGGCGCUUUGAGAGGGACCUGCGGCCCAUCAGCUAGUUGGUAGGGUAACGGCCUACCAAGGCGAAGACGGGUAGGGGGCGUGAGAGCGUGACCCCCCACACUGGCACUGGGACACGGGCCAGACUCCUACGGGAGGCAGCAGUGAGGAAUAUUGCGCAAUGAGCGAAAGCUAGACGCAGCAACGCCGCGUGGGUGAUGAAGGCCUUCGGGUCGUAAAACCCUUUUCUGGGGGAAGAGUAAGGACGGUACCCCAGGAAUAAGCCUCGGCUAACUAUGUGCCAGCAGCCGCGGUAAUACAUAGGAGGCGAGCGUUAUCCGGAUUUACUGGGCGUAAAGAGCGUUGAGGCGGCUUCGUAAGUUGGACGUGAAAGCUCCCGGCUUAACUGGGAGAGGCCGUUCAAUACUGCGGGGCUUGAGGACAGCAGAGGGGGGUGGAAUUUCGGGUGUAAUGGUGAAGUGCGUAGAUAUCGGAAGGAACAGCAGUGGCGAAUUGCGACCACUGGGCUGCUCCUGAAACUGAAUGCCAAGCUAGGGUAGCGAACGGGAUUAGAAACCCCGGUAGUCCUAUCCUUAAACGAUUGAUACUAGCUGUAGGAGGUUAAUACUCCUUCUGUGCCGGAUCUAACGCGCUAAGUAUCCCGCUUGGGGAGUACGGUCGCAAGGCUAAAACUCAAAGGAAUUGACGGGGGCCCGCACAAGCAUCGGAGCGUGUGGUUUAAUUCGAUGCAACGCGAAGAACCUUACCAGGGCUUGACAUGUAGGUAGUAGUGAAGCGAAAGCGGAACGAUCCUUCGGGAAGCCUACACAGGUGCUGCAUGGCUGUCGUCAGCUCGUGCCGUGAGGUGUUAGGUUAAGUCCUGUAACGAGCGCAACCCCUGCCGUUAGUUACAACUGUCUAACGGGACUGCCCGGCAAAACUGGGCCGAAGGUGGGGAUGACGUCAAGUCAGCAUGGCCUUUAUGUCCUGGGCUACACACACGCUACAAUGGCCGGUACAAUGGGUUGCCAAGCCGCGAGNCGGAGCCAAUCCUCUAAAGCCGGUCUCAGUUCGAAUUGUAGGCUGCAACCCGCCUGCAUGAAGUUGGAGUUGCUAGUAACCGC
rnacentral:rRNA from 1 species